CCUCUGCUGUCACUAACUCCCCCUUGUGGUCUGAUCAUAGCGCUGCUAUUUGGAGCCCGGGUCCCUCUAGUGCCACUUUUAAAAUUCCUGUGGUAAUUUUGCAUAGGUCCUUAAUACGGAACAGACGCAGCCGAUACAGAAAUAAUGAUAACUUAAUAAAGAUCCGGGCCAGAACUCUACUUCCAGUCUCAACUUCAGCUCUAACUCAGCACAGACUUUUUAAGAUGGCUCUUCUCAAUGUAAGAUCCCUCUCUAACAAAAGAUUUAUUUUAAAUGAUUUUAUCUCUUCUACUGAUUUAGAUUUUAUGUUUUUAACAGAAUCCUGGUUACGUCCUGGUGACUGCUUUAGUCGCCCUAGGGAUUGUGGUCGAGGUGGGGGCCUUGUUACUGUCUAUAGGAAGCAUUUAAAGUGUAACCUCAUAGCUUGCAAUGAUUUUUCCUCCUUUGAAGUGCUCAUGUUUAAACUUGGUGGCCCACUCCCGGUCAUAUUUGCUUUUAUUUAUCGCCCCCCUAAACCAGCUGGCUCCUUCUUGUUGGAACUCCCUGAGUUUUUAUCCAGUCUUGUGUUAAAUUAUGAUAGAAGCCUCACUACAUAAAGGACACACUAUGUCCUGCAUUGACGCUGAACAUUGGCAUUGAUGUGCUCAAUCGUUCAACAUGGAUGUUAUUACUAGGAUACUGGGCUGUCAGCUAAUGAGAAAUAUUUGAAGAAUUUACUAAUCCUAAUCUGCACAUUGGUUAUUGAGCAGAGCACUAUUUUUCAAGCACGUGCUGUCAUGACUGACAGGUUUAUCAUUACAGCUAAUAGCAGAAUAUAUACCACAGCUAGGUCUGUCUGUUACUUUAGGACAUGUACUUACUGAGCUCACAAUGUCUGGAGAGGAUUAUGACAGACGUAUGACUACUUGAUAAUUCCUCAACUGUUGUUUUUCUGAGACUCAACAUUCACUUGUUGAAUAGAAAAACCCUUUGAGACAAAGAGUGAUUUUGUAUUCUUGUAUCCUUCUACUCUUAUAGCAUAAAGUUUGGUCACUGAGCUGUGGCAUUAACUUGUAUUCUAACAAGAUUAAAAUAUAUUUGUCCUGGAGAUUAGCAUAGUUAAGUGUCCCUUUUUUUAUUUGGCUUUUGGGGCGGCUGCAGCAGGCUUUGAUCAGUGUAGCGCGGCGAGGCCCAGGCUUGGCCUGGCCAUCCGAGGCCCGGGUGUGAAAUUGGUCUGAUGUCAUCCCCCAUUCUCCACCUUCACCAGCUUUUAGCAGGCGUAAUUAUAUUUCCGCCACAAAGCCCCCGUCCCCUUCAUUCCAUAUUCCAAGUUUGACUAGGAAGCAUUUAGAGAACUAUGGCUAAAUUACUCAGUGGGGGGAAGGGGGACUGGAUGGGCCGUCUUUUGUCUGACAGAGACACAUGGGACAUCAAUACUUUGUGAUAUGUACUUUUCUUUCCUCUGCUCGUUUGCCCUUUGCCUCUGCAUGUUGGAGAGGUUAAGUUUAUGACAAGCGGAUAGAUGAACUCUGCUUUUAGCCGGAAAACCACAGGACCUGUUGCUGAAAUGUUACCAUAGACAGAUUUAGCAACAUUUGACGACUGUCGUGGUUUUACUGUUGCCACUCUCUUUUGAGAAAUGUACAUUUUGAACUCCAGAAUAAUUCCAACAUAAUAAGCGCAUGCAGAUUGAUUCUGUCGUUAGCUGUAUUUAAGCUUUUUGGCUAAAUGGAUUUCAGACUUGGAAUAGACAGGCAGUGAUAGUUUGUCUGAAGUUGGUGGUUGGUUUUGACUUGCAGUACAAACUUGUACUGAAUGGUGAUUUUACGUUGUUCCUAAUGAUGCCCCAAAGCAUGGAAUUUCAUUCUAGAACGUGGGAUCAGUAUGUGACAUGAACUAAUCUCGACUCAAGUGCUGAUGAAGACUAUGAGAUGCAAUUGAAAGCUCUGAAAAAGCUAGUAAGUGGACCUUGAGUUGAAAUUAUUUUCCUACACAUCGCCAGAGAUUUUUAAAGGAAAGAGAGGACAUGCCUUCACAGAUCUUCAUGUACCUUACAGCAGAAAAAAGCAAAGCGCACCCUGCCCUCAGAGUUAUUUUGGAGAGAGCACCAAAAAUAGCAAAGAAACACUGACUGUAGUUUGCAACAGCACUAGCAAGCGUAUUCAUUCUGCAACUAUGAGAGGUGAUAAUUGAACAUCUUUUCAAUACAGCUCAAUAAAACAAGUCUUAUCAUAAGAGAAUGAUUCUAUUUUUGUGAGAACGUGUAAAAUGAUAUAAUGUAUAAUAUAAUAUGACCGUUUUCAGCCCUCUAGAGUGGAAACCAAAUUGAAAACCACAUCCCAGAAUCCUGCUGGUGUGGAUUUACAUCCGGUGCCAAUGUUCAGUGGAAACUCAGCAAGAAGUGUGCCCUUUAUGUGGUGAGGCAGAGAGCAAAACACAAAUUGAGUGAUCAGUAUGCUUCAAACACGGUCUUUGUCCUGAAAUUGGGGGAGUUAGCUGCAUCAGACAUAUUUUGUAACUUUGAAAAUGAAAACCUAACAAGCAGACCCACUUCUCACAGUGAUUGAGCAGGUGUGCAGAGGUGUGAAAGGAGGCGGGGUUUUCAUGUGAACAACCGAGUGCAACAUUAUGAAUGCCUUUUAGGAGAGAAAGUGUGCACCGUUAUCCCCAUUCGAAGCGUUCAUCGCGUUGAGACUACAAAGAAACCCAGAAUUGUUGAAGAGAGAUUGGGGAGGCGGUGGGAAGCAUGAGGAGGCUGUGACGGCUAGCUUUUUUUACCUUAACCGCAAUCUUUUACUUACCUGAACCGUAGUAGUUGUGACAUUGGCAACCAGGCAACAGAAGAAUGGAUUUAGUCCAAAAGGUUUGAUCGUGUUUUUUAUAGAGGUUGUAUAUGAAAAUUGUUGACAUUUGGAAAGUCACAAAAAGCUUUUGGAUCAGAACCACCAGAAGAAUAAAUCUGAGAAACUGAUUUUUAGAUUUAAAAAGUGUUUUAAUUUAAACAGCAUAUAACUGAUAUAAAAUAUAACAUCAGGGCCAUGAUGAAAACAAGUGAAAGUCCCCUGACCUCCACAGUGGGAACCAGAGAGGAAAAAGAUGUCCAUUUCUCACCACUUCUUGGCUGUAGUGUUGUCGCCUGCUGCUUUUUGCAUGGACACCCAAAGCAUUUUGACCUUCAUCCAGGUUCUCUGGCCAUUAUACCACCCCCCAACACCCCCAACACCCCCAGCCCUUUCGACUGACAGCCCCACACUGUGCAUAGAAACCCAGCUCGCAGCUCUUUCCCCCUUUCCUCACCCAAGUCAAGCGUAGCUCAGCUCAUCAAGUCGGCGACCGUUGGGCGUAACUUCCACAUACAAGCGAGCUAAGAAUGGAAAUGCAGAUGAGGCUCCUGCUGCCAUUCACAGAGCCCAGGUCAAUGCUGCUGCCGCUGCCAAUGGACGAGUCUCUGGCUUUCCCUCUGCUCUCCAUAUUUCUUUCUUUCGACUGUUUCUCCACCGCAGUCAGACGUUCAGGCAGGAGCCCUCGGUAUGUAUGGAUACUACGUAUUCAAAAAUGGACCGAGUUACCUCCAUAAACAUUGUCUUGAAAAUGCCCCCUGACCCGCUGCCUACACGACUUAGAGGUCGCGUAUCGUUGAUGUCCGGUGGCUCGCAGCUAUCAGCUGAUCCAGUGAAUCUGUCAUCCUGCUCAGCCGCAGCGUGGCACACGUAUGGGUGUGUUUAACCGACAUGUUUGCCUUAUCUAUGCACCUGUUCAUGACUUACAUCACUUUGACACUAUAACCUAUGGCAAUUAUUUUCUGGACCUUGGCCCCAUUGAAAGCUUGAAAAAAAAACACUUUUAACACAGUGUAGUAGGUUUUCCAAUGCUUUUAUGAACCUACAAAUGUUCUUAUCUAAUAGAGAAGCAUGUAGUCCUUCAGCUCUUCUGAAAUGUGUAAUGACCAAACGUGGAGAUGUACGUUUCCACUGAACAGCAAAGAUAACAGAGCUUUAAUCAGAUUCUUGUUAGGAAAAAAGAAGGUUACAGGCUGUAGUGCGGGGCAGCUAUUCAGUGCUGUAAAUGGCAUGCCAUCAGCCUGAAUACAGUGUUGUUAUAUUUAAUGUACACUUUGUAAGAAAAGUGGUUGGAAUAUUCUUCACGCACUUUACAGUGGCACCACAGUUAGUUCGAUGACAACCUGGCAUCACUGUACUGGUCGUGUAACUGCAUCUCUUCAAGUGCGCUGUGUGGACAGAAUGAUCGACGGCUGCUGUCCUCAGCUCGCAUUAUUCUUCUGCUAAUCAUUAUCGACACCUUUCACUAAGCCACCCGCAGACUCGUCACAUCCACUUCACAACAAAAUGAUACACGUUUUUUUCUUGUUUGUGGAACAUUUUUUCCUGAUGUGUGUUUCAGGUUAUAAUAAAAAAAUCUUCUGAAAAGUCAAA